UAGGGAAUCUUCCACAAUGGACGCAAGUCUGAUGGAGCAACGCCGCGUGAGUGAAGAAGGGUUUCGGCUCGUAAAACUCUGUUGUUAAAGAAGAACAUAUCUGAGAGUAACUGUUCAGGUAUUGACGGUAUUUAACCAGAAAGCCACGGCUAACUACGCGCCAG
rnacentral:rRNA from 1 species